CAAUAGCGUAUAUUUAAGUUGUUGCAGUUAAAAAGCUCGUAGUUGGAUUUCGGGUAGGAUUUGCCGGUCCGUCUUUGAGAUGUGUACUGGUAAGUCCUAUCUUCUUGUCGGGGGCCAGCUCCUGGGCUUCACUGUCCGGGACUGGGAGCCGACGAAGUUACUUUGAGUAAAUUAGAGUGUUCAAAGCAAGCCUACGCUCUGAAUAUAUUAGCAUGGAAUAACACGAUAGGACUCUGGCUUAUCUUGUUGGUCUGUGAGACCAGAGUAAUGAUUAAGAGGGACAGUCGGGGACAUUCGUAUUUCAUUGUCAGAGGUGAAAUUCUUGGAUUUAUGAAAGACGAACUUCUGCGAAAGCAUUUGUCAAGGAUGUUUUCAUUAA
rnacentral:rRNA from 1 species